AUGAACGCUGGCGGCGUGCCUAAUACAUGCAAGUCGCGCGAACAGACGAGGAGCUUGCUCCUCUGACGUUAGCGGCGGGCGGGUGAGUAACACGUGGAUAACCUACCUAUAAGACUGGGAUAACUUCGGGAAACCGGAGCUAAUACCGGAUAAUAUAUUGAACCGCAUGGUUCAAUAGUGAAAGACGGUUUUGCUGUCACUUAUAGAUGGAUCCGCGCCGCAUUAGCUAGUUGGUAAGGUAACGGCUUACCAAGGCAACGAUGCGUAGCCGACCUGAGAGGGUGAUCGGCCACACUGGAACUGAGACACGGUCCAGACUCCUACGGGAGGCAGCAGUAGGGAAUCUUCCGCAAUGGGCGAAAGCCUGACGGAGCAACGCCGCGUGAGUGAUGAAGGUCUUCGGAUCGUAAAACUCUGUUAUUAGGGAAGAACAAAUGUGUAAGUAACUAUGCACGUCUUGACGGUACCUAAUCAGAAAGCCACGGCUAACUACGUG
rnacentral:rRNA from 1 species